CUUUGCGAUGGCCCGUUCCAGUGAGGCCUUGGCUGCCUGGCAACAGGGUGAUCUGGCCUGGGCGGAGCUGG
rnacentral:tRNA from 1 species